rnacentral:misc_RNA from 1 species
GAUGAAGAACGUAGCGAAAUGCGAUAAGUAAUGUGAAUUACAGAAUUCAGUGAAUCAUCGAAUCUUUGAACGCACCUUGCGCCCUUUGGACAUUCCGAAGGGCAUGCCUGUUUGAGUAUCAUGAGCACCUCAACUCUCACGGCUUGUCCGUGAUGAGCUUGGACUUUGGGGGUCUUGCCGGCCUGUGGUCGGCUCCUCUCAAAUGGAUCAGCUUGCCAGUGUUUGGUGGCAUCACAGGUGUGAUAACUAUCUGCGCUUGUGGUUUUCCAUCAGAUAACCUUCAGUGAUAUGGAGGUUCGCUGGAGCUCACAAAUGUCUCUCCUUAGUGAGGACAGCUCUUUGAACGUUUGAUCUCAAAUCAGGUAGGACUACCCGCUGAACUUAAGCAUAUCAAUAAGCGGAGGA